rnacentral:tRNA from 1 species
GGCCGCUUAGCACAGCGGUAGUGCGUUCGACUACGAGUCGUCGUCAGCCUAGCUGCUCGAUAUCGAGAGGUCGCAGGUUCGAUCCCUGCAGUGGUCG